rnacentral:misc_RNA from 1 species
GCAAAACGCAGAACAUAUACAAUCAUAUUUAAAACAAAUACAUAUGAUAACAUUGAGUUGCCUCAUAAAAAAAAAUGUAAUACACUUAAUUUAUCAUAUAUAGAAGGUAGAAGUAUAGAACAAUGACCAUAGUCUACCUAUAACAAAUAGGUUUCAAGUGCUACCUCUAUAUCCCCAGAUCAGUGUACAUGAUCUUUACAUAUGAUACUAUGAUACAUGAAUAUAUAUGGUGGUCUUAAAAUUUCGGCUUAUCCAAUUCCAAGUAAAUGAAUUGGAUGAAAUAUAAAUUAAUACAUAUAUUACACUUCAUAAGCGUAUUUUAAUAAAAUUAUAAUAAUUAAUAUAAUCACUGAUUGAAACCUGGAACAUUAGAUCAGCAAUAGUCAGAACAUUUACCCAAAUUCUACCUGCGCAGUUCAGAUACUCAUACUAUGUAGGUCUGUUUCAAAUUCUUUCUUCCCCGCUUUCUUCUUGGGUUGGCACUGAUCAUGCAAGAGAAGGCAUUGACAAGCUCUGGAUCCUCUUCAGUUAUGAGCAUCUUAGCUGCAGAUGGGUCUGCAAGCAAGAGCUUUGCUACAAGGUAUCCAGCAAUAGACCAGGUCUGGAACAGGCGUGCUUGUUUUCCAAUGAAUCUUGCUCUUUUGGUAUCAUAAUAUUCAGGCCACUUGUCCCGUGAUAUGCAUCUUUCGGCAACUUCAACAGCUCUGGCAGCAAUUUCUGGUCUAUUCAUCUUUAUGCCUGCAACUGUCAGCUGCCAAAGAAGAGUUGGCCAAGAACCUGCAUUGUGGUAAGACCAAGGCGUGUUCUUGGGAUCACUGCCUGUGAUGAUCUGCCAUUCCUGGCCUUCAAGAGCAGGAUAACAUAUCUUCAAUGGCAUGCCUGCUACUAGAUCUGUCCACUUGGCUUCAAUGAGAUCCAAUAUGGCAUGUGAUUGAUCUAUUGUAGCAAGACCACUUACAACAGACCAUAAGUUUCCAAGAGAGAAAAAUCUAAAAUCCAUGUGAGCUGGUUGCAAGUUCCCAAUUAGAUAGCCCCCUUGGUUGGGCAUCCAUUCCACCAGCCAAGGAGAAAUCUGAUCUGGAUAAAUGUUGAACUUAUUAACUGCAUCAUAAGAGUACUCUUCAGUCUUGUAACGAUAAAUCUCAUUUAGUUUUCUCAAAUCAAUCCAAUAAUAUUCCCUGAUAUGGAAUGACAGAGCAACUAGACGAUUGUUCAAAGCUCGGAUGAGAUCAGCUGAUCCAUCCUCAGGAGCAAGCAUCUCCCGAGCACAAAGUAGUGCUGAAUAAAAAAGUGCCUGAAUUUCUAGAGGGUGGCCAUGAAUUCCCAUACGGCGAUCUAUCAUGCAAGAACCAUCAGUCACCAACAAUGUUGGGAACAUGUCAAAACCAUCAGCAAGACACAGCCUCAGAAUCAUCUUAAUUCCAGUCUGCACAUCAAUCCUCUCCAGAAUUGAGAGAUCACCAGAACAUUUUCCAUAUGCACGUAAUAAGAUAAUCCACCAUAAUCCAGAAUCAACAGGUGCAACACGACCUAUUGCCGCCUCUCCAAAGUCAGGAUCCAAUACCUCUUCAGUUGCUGAGUCAUCACCAUCCAGGGGAACUGUACGUACCUUGAAACUAGCAGGCAUCAAUCCCUGACCCGGGCUGUGACAGUCCAUUGUUUUCUCCCAGCUCUGCAACUGAAGUGUGUGAAGAAUGAAAUUCCGA